rnacentral:rRNA from 1 species
GAUCCUGGCUCAGGAUGAACGCUAGCUACAGGCUUAACACAUGCAAGUCGAGUGGCAGCAUGGUCUUAGCUUGCUAAGGCCGAUGGCGACUGGCGCACGGGUGAGUAACGCGUAUCCAACCUGCCUUACACUCUUGGACAGCCUUCUGAAAGGGAGAUUAAUACAAGAUGUUAUCAUGAGUAAGCAUUUUCACAUGAUUAAAGGUUUACCGGUGUAAGAUGGGG